UACAGAGGCGGCAAGCGUUGUUCGGAAUUACUGGGCGUAAAGGGCGCGUAGGCGGUCCUCUAAGUCUUGUGUGAAAUCCCUCGGCUCAACUGAGGAACUGCACGGGAUACUGGAAGACUUGAGUUCGGGAGAGGGAAGCGGAAUUCCGGGUGUAGCGGUGAAAUGCGUAGAUAUCCGGAGGAACACCGGUGGCGAAGGCGGCUUCCUGGACCGAUUACUGACGCUGAGGCGCGAAAGCUAGGGGAGCAAACGGG
rnacentral:rRNA from 1 species